GCCAAAACUUUCAAAAAGAAAAAAAACAUAGUAGUAAUAAGUAAGUGUCUACACCCUCCACCUUUAUAUAUAGAUAACUGAAGAUUGUAUUAAGUGUGUGGUAAUCAUGAACAAUAUACACUUUAGGUUGUUUUUUAUUUUGUUCAUUCUCCUUUUUUCAAAGAUGGUGAUAGAAACAGAAGGAUCAUAUGAAUAUCGUAAGGCCGUUUGCAAAGAGAUGUGUAAAGUUGCAGGUCAUCCAUAUGGUGUAAUCUUGUUUUUUGAUGGUCAUCCAAGUCCUAUAAGAUGCAUCUGUGCGACACCGCCGUGACGCACUAAAGAUUAGAUGAGCGUACAACUUUGUUUAUGGUUCUUUAAUUGCUAGUUCUGGUUUUUUGUCUUGUUUUUUCGAUCACUUUUCUGUUUUAUUUUUUCCUUCACUUUAUUGUUCUUUGGUGUGGUUUUUGUCCGCAUUAUGUGUGGUUCAUUAGUUUCUCUCUGUAUGAUACUUUGCUCCCCUUUUAAUUAUAGUUACCAGUGUGUCUUGAUUUAUUUCAAUUAAUCUUAAUAUGUUUUCAAUUUCUA